AGUGGGAUUCGUAAUGUCGCGGGCCGAACGGGCCGAACGCAUGGAUGUGCAACAAACGUGAGAAAAACAGCAGUGAGAGAAACAAAUUAAGAUGUUGAGGAGCAGGAAGAAGAGGGAGAGCCAGAGGAGUCGGUGGAGGUUGGAGAGAGGGCAUGUGAUGAAAGUGAGGGCUCUGACACAGAGAGGGAAAUUCCAGAGGGUGAGGAGGAUGAAGAAGAGGGUAAGGAGGAAGAAAACUACAGGGACAGAGAGAGAGGAACAGCCAGAGUGGAUUCAUGUGGAUCAAGUACUGCACCAUGAGAUAUCAGCAAGUCCAAGAAUGAUGUACCAGUACAGCCCAACUUGAAUAUAUUCCCAACCAUUUUGAUCGGGGACAGAAAACAGAGCUUCAGGCCAAACUGCUAUAAUCUUCAUCCAUGGCUUGAGUAUUCUGUCAUGAUGGACUCUACAUAUUGCUAUGCAUGUAGACAUUUUUUAUUGCCCUACCUCUCUUGCACCUGCACUCACGCUUGUACAAAAUAAAUGUUUAUAUGAUUUUAAAGUAAAAUAAAGUUUAUAAUCUUUAAAUAUGA